rnacentral:rRNA from 1 species
AUUGAACGCUGGCGGCAGGCUUAACACAUGCAAGUCGAGCGGAGAUGAGGUGCUUGCACCUUAUCUUAGCGGCGGACGGGUGAGUAAUGCUUAGGAAUCUGCCUAUUAGUGGGGGACAACAUUCCGAAAGGAAUGCUAAUACCGCAUACGUCCUACGGGAGAAAGCAGGGGAUCUUCGGACCUUGCGCUAAUAGAUGAGCCUAAGUCGGAUUAGCUAGUUGGUGGGGUAAAGGCCUACCAAGGCGACGAUCUGUAGCGGGUCUGAGAGGAUGAUCCGCCACACUGGGACGGAGGCACGGCCCAGACUCCUACGGGAGGUAGCAGUGGGGAAUAUUGGACAAUGGGGGAAACCCUGAUCCAGCCAUGCCGCGUGUGUGAAGAAGGCCUUAUGGUUGUAAAGCACUUUAAGCGAGGAGGAGGCUACUGAGACUAAUACUCUUGGAUAGUGGACGUUACUCGCAGAAUAAGCACCGGCUAACUCUGUGCCAGCAGCCGCCGUAACAC